rnacentral:tRNA from 1 species
AGGGGUAUGGCUCAGUGGUAGAGCGCGUGCUUAGCGUGCAUGAGGUCCGGGUUCAAUCCCCAGGACCGCCA